rnacentral:lncRNA from 1 species
GCUUUUUUUUUUUUCUCUUUUGUGAGACGGAGUCUCGGUCGGUCCCCCAGUCUGGAGUGCAGGGGCAUGAUCUUGGUUCACUGCAACCUCCCCCUCCCAGGUUCAAGUGAUUCUCCCAUCUCAGCCUCCCCAGUAGCUAGGAGUACAGGCACCCGCCACCACGCCUGGCCAAUUUUUGUAUUUUUAGUAGAGAUUAGUAGAGAUGGGGUUUCACCAUGUUGGUCAGGCUGGUCU